AUAGGAACGAAAGUUAGGGGAUCGAAGACGAUCAGAUACCGUCGUAGUCUUAACCAUAAACUAUACCGACUAGGGAUCGGACGGUGUUAUUUUUUGACCCGUUCGGCACCUUACGAAAAAUCAAAGUGCUUGGGCUCCAGGGGGAGUAUGGUCGCAAGGCUGAAACUUAAAGAAAUUGACGGAAGGGCACCACCAGGGGUGGAGCCUGCGGCUUAAUUUGACUCAACACGGGGAAACUCACCAGGUCCAGACACAAUGAGGAUUGACAGAUUGAGAGCUCUUUCUUGAUUUUGUGGGUGGUGGUGCAUGGCC
rnacentral:rRNA from 1 species